rnacentral:snoRNA from 1 species
UGUUUAUGAGGGUCAGGUGAUGAGGUUUUAACUGCAACAAUAUGAUGGGAGCUUAGCUCCUGUGAUUCCUAUGUAUUUAAGUCUCUGAUGAUCCUUCAAACA